GUCUUGUUGGAGAUCUCUGCCUACCUCAGGCCUCCUGAAGGGUGUCACGCUUCAGACUAGUUGCUUCAGAAUAUUACAUUUGGGAUUUUUCUUACACAUAAAACAAUAAUUCUGAUUUUAUCUUACACCUGAAGAAGUAGAAAAUUGCUCCAUAUAAUUAGUUCAAGCCCUCUUGCAUGAGAUAAAGUGAACAUUUGUCUCUAAAAGGGGGGGAGGAAAUGUUUGAAAACUACCUUUGUGGCUUUUACCAUUUCCAUGGCGUUGUGAUCUCUAAGAACUGAGGUCAUGUAUGACACACAAAAUACUUUGCUAACAUCAUGUAUAUGCUAGGAUUAUCCUUUCAGAUUUAUUUUUCAUGGAUUUUGUUUGUAACAUUUUAAGUACCAUGAAGCUAGUACAUUUGUAAAUAUUCUAUUGUUAAAUAUGUGCAUGAGAAACUGAACAUAUUGUAAGUAGAUAACAAUAAUGAACCUUUGCGUAGCUCAAAUGUUUAGCAUGUGGCCAAAUAAUUUAACAUGUAGGCAGAUAAUGAACCUAGUUACAAAUAAACUUGCUCUUGACUUCAAGAAUGUUAUAGAGUCAUUACUGUGGAGAGAAUUUGGAUGUUUCUGUUGUAUGCUCAACUGCAUUUUGGAAGCAGCUUUUUAGACAACUGGUCGAAGGUGAGGAAAAAGUGGAAACUCUUAGUUAAAAAGGAUGCCAUUGAUUAAUUCUUUUUUUCCCGCUUGGAUUUUUGUCCUUUUCAUACUGUAUUAUUUGUAAGCUUGCUUAAAGUACUUUAUGCAAGAUUCAGAGGGGGGGGGGGAAAGCCACAUUGUACAGUAUUUAAAUAAUUGAAUGCUGGCGGAAAGGUGGGCUUUUGAUGAGUCUGCAGUUUUGUAUUGAAAAUCAAAUACAUUGUAAGCAUAGGGAAACACAACUCGGUGCCCUGAGAAGGUUUGGUGUCAUGGUCAACAUUCAAAAUUUGCAUGAGAGGUUAUUCAAAAGAGAGGCAGCAGACUUCCCUAUUGUAUUAACAUGGUAAUGCAAUUCUUUGUGUCUAUUAUCCUGAUCCACAUCAGCUCUGGUAUGCACAGAGUCUGGAUUUUUAUGAGCUAUAUGCUUUUAUGCAGAGAUAUUUUAUUAACCCAAUUAAGAAUUUUAUAAAAGUAAAUUAUAU
rnacentral:lncRNA from 1 species